GGGCGGGUAGCUCAGUGGGAGAGCAUCGGCCUUACAAGCCGGGGGUCGGAGGUUCAAAACCUCUCCCGCCUACCA
rnacentral:tRNA from 8 species